rnacentral:lncRNA from 1 species
CCUCCUAAUAUCUAACCUAAACCUCCCCAUCUCAUUUUAAAACCAUUCCCCCUUGUCCCGUCAUUAAAAAGCAUGCAGCAGGUAUCUGGCUUACUGGUCAUUUUACAAAUGCAAGUUGCAGGAAAGUUGUUACUAAUGGAAGAAGUUACAAGGCUGAAGGCGGUGGAGAGUUCCAUUCAAGAUAUCUCACAAAGAAAAAGAAUAUGACAGACCCAGCAGGGACUGCAACAAAACCACUGACAUCCUUUGGAAAAUGAAGGAGAAGCCGAUGGAGGUGCAGCCUCUAUUUGCUCUUCCGCAGCCUGCAGCACUGCCAACCAGAAGGUACCUCAGAGCCCUUUCCCAAAGCAUGCUCUUUCAGAAUAAGUGAUUUCAUUACGUGAGGAACUGGGCAUGGAUUAUUUUUACAGAAACAGAAAAUGAAUCUUUGUUAUUCUGAAAAUAGCUGCCGAGGUACACUAAGUUCCAUUCAGCUACAGCUCGGAAUAAAAGGAGACUCAUCCCUUCCACAACAUACGUGCCAGUUCUCUCAUUAUUUCUUUUAAAUCACCAUGACAAGCUCAAAUUUUACCUCACUUCUAUUUAACAACAGUAGCAAACUGAUAAAGCUUAAAGUAGCUUAUUAACACUGGCAGCUUAGCAGGCAAACAUCAUAAAAAGGAUUUAAAUCAGAAAUGUAAUCCCUGACCCUUGCUCUUUAGCUGAUAACAGCAGAAGAUAUGAGGCACCAAUAAACCUACAAUAUCAGUCACCAGUGACAAGAAGUGGUACAGGUGUGACAAAAGUCAGCAAAUCUGCCAUCCACAUCAGCUAUCUCAUGUGAUCUCUAUUAAAAGAAAAAGCUUGGUAUCAAAUGUAGAAGGCUGAGCGUACGCCAUCUCUUACGACGCAGGAUUUGAUGAAUAACUGAAGUCUCAAAACUACCAUACUCUUCCCAAUGUUACGUAAAGACGUGCAAGGUAAGCAACAGGAAUCCUCUCACCAGAGAGAAAGUACAGCAGCUGGUAUGUGCUCAUGUGUCCCUCAGGGGGAACGCCAGGAGGAAACGGUG